rnacentral:rRNA from 1 species
UCGGCAACGGAUAUCUCGGCUCUCGCAUCGAUGAAGAACGUAGCGAAAUGCGAUACUUGGUGUGAAUUGCAGAAUCCCGUGAACCAUCGAGUCUUUGAACGCAAGUUGCGCCCGAAGCCAUUUGGUUGAGGGCACGUCUGCCUGGGCGUCACGUUAACACAUCUCCCACAAACCCUUCCCCAUGUCUUGGGGCAAGGAUUUUGUGGCGAGAAGAAUUGGCCUCCCGUGUAACAUUG